rnacentral:rRNA from 3 species
UACGUAUGGUGCAAGCGUUAUCCGGAUUUACUGGGUGUAAAGGGUGCGUAGGUGGCAAGGCAAGUCUGAAGUGAAAAUCCGGGGCUCAACCCCGGAACUGCUUUGGAAACUGUUUAGCUGGAGUACAGGAGAGGUAAGUGGAAUUCCUAGUGUAGCGGUGAAAUGCGUAGAUAUUAGGAGGAACACCAGUGGCGAAGGCGACUUACUGGACUGCUACUGACACUGAGGCACGAAAGCGUGGGGAGCAAACAGG